AGUCUGACAUGAGAGUGAAGUAUCCACAGCUCUUUGGGGAGUUGAGUACUUGAAUUUCGGGACGAAAUUCCUUUAAGGGGGGUAGAUUGUAAUAACCUCAUCUUCCACUUACUAGUUAUUGAAUUUUCUGGUUUUAUCACAAAUUUAUAGUGGCAAAUACUUUGUUUAAAAAAAUUGAGGUGUGCUCUUUGUGUUUCAAGCAUUAAGAGAGGUAGUGCGACACUAGUUGUAUUUUACUCUACAUGUUGAUAGAUGGUGGUGUACCAGCUCCAGAAGAAAAGAAAGAAAAUCUCUCACUCUCUCCCUCUCUGCCGAAACCAGCAACCAAAACAGAGCAUUCCUUCUCCAAGCUUGUUCUCGCUCCACAGGCCUUUGAAUCGACCCAGACCACGUUCCACAGCUUCGCCUCUUCCUUUCGCAGCUGCCGGUAACAGCCUUUCGCCGUCUCGUGGGCCGUACACGGCGGUGGAGCACGAGGCCGGUUUACCCCCGUUUUGAUUUCAAGCUUGAUAUCUCAAGUUACCAUUCACCACUCCUCACCAAACUCCAUCCACAAGCUCACCUCAACGUCCUGAAGCUCCCAGAAGUGGCCUUGCACGGCGGCGCUACUCGUGGUGGCGGCUGGAAGCCAGACCCGAUCAAAUCGAAAACCAAAGCUUCGAUCGACAUAUCUCGCGCUACAGGAUGUUGUUUUGAGUGUUUCUUGAACUGGUGAACUCAGAGUGAGGAUCUGAACAACUUUCCAGAAGGUAUCGAGGCCUGAAGUUGCAGUUUUUACGUCGAACUAGGAGCUCACCGGUUUCUGGGUUUUUUCCGGCCAACCCGACUGGUUUGAGGUGAUCGACAGUUUGAUUUGGUGGACGAUUCGUGAAAGUGUAUUUUGAGCUGUUAAGAAGACGCAGCGGGAAUUUAGAGCGGGAAAUCCUACAGGUCAGGAGAACCAGGACGGUGAUCGGGCUGCUUAGAGUAGUGUUAUGUGAAUUACAGCAUUAUAUUGUGAGGUUUGUUAUGCUCAUUUAGAGCUUUGCAAUUUUACUUUGUAAGAGUGAAUUGUAAUAAUUAACUCGAGGUUUUCGAGUUUUUGUGUUGAGUGGCGAGUGGUGUGUUUGUUUGUGAGAAAAAAAUUCAGAACGUUAUUUGUAUUAAUUGUUUAUUCAUGUUUCGGAUUUGAAUUGGUUAUUCAAAAUUCGGGGC